UUUUAUCCGCUGGCACGGUUUGCAGUUGCAGCUGGACAAUGGUCGUGGUGUUCCUUGAGCCAAUAUUUUGCUGCUACAAUUUCUAUAAAACGAAGGUGGUCAAUUGCUGUGGAAUUUAAGGUGUUCCUAGGAGGCCUUUGGUCUGCUUCCUUGGGACCCAGGUAACUAUAGCAUUGGAUAGUAACCAAGGCAAUAAGGCAAUUUCAUUUGGUGUCUUUGCGGUCGUAUUGAUAGUAGAUAAUGCAGGGAAAUCUAGGCAGGCAGCUGUUGUGAUGCCUAGAUGCAGGAUAGGUGCAACACUAUAAAGCCUUGAAUCUGUUAGAAACAGAGAAGUGUCUGAUAUACAAAAUAUCAGAUUAGGUCCCAAUACAACAUGAUUUGCGUAGACAAGGGAUAUUGUGAUUAUCAUCUUAUGACUUCCCGUGGCAUGAAAUUGUACUAGAGCUUCAGCAUCCGAGAAACUGCCAGCAUGAUCAAGAGGUGGUUCAUCACAUCGAUGGAAGCUUACUGCCAUGUUCUUGGAGUUGACGUGUUCCUUCAUAUGAUUGCCGGAAGUAUUCUUGCUGGGACCUACUAUGCAUUCUCUCCUAAGGGUAGAUUGGUCCAUCCUCACACAUCCAUUGAAUACAUUUGAUGGGCUGGCUAACACUCCUCCAAGUAGGGAUUUAUUUAUUUCAUUGUACAAUUUAGUGACUCGGUAUUUUUU